GCCGGGCCUGGAGGGGAGAGGAAGCUGAGUUUAGUGGUCUGCUAGCUGUGCCUGAGGACAGCUAUAGCUCAGCUAGCAACAAUGGAGGCCACAGACAGAGGCCCAAGCAGGCAGAGCCCCAUUCCACAGCUACAGCCCAGCAGGGGAAGGCAUGGUUGGGAAAUGAGGCAAACAUCACAUGUGACAACGUUACAUCCAUAUGGGUAGCUGACCAUCUACUCGAAGAGCUCUGCUUCAGAGAUUUCAACAAGCUCGUGGACUGAUACCAUCACCAGGAAUGAGGAUACCUCCAAAAACAUGUUUCUCGUUUGACUCGUUUGGAUGAAAUGUCCAUUUCUGUUAUCUGCAGAUCAGUUUUGUUUUGUUUUUCUAAAGUGGAUAGAUUUCACCCGAGGUAACAGUGGAAGUCUAAAACCCUCCAUAAAGCUAGAACACAAACACCGGUCUGAAGCGGAGGCUCUCCGGCUCCAAGUUUGGGUUUAGAUUUCCAUCUGAAUUGAUUAAAAUCUGAAUUUCAAGUAAA